rnacentral:rRNA from 1 species
AUUGAACGCUGGCGGCAUGCUUUACACAUGCAAGUCGAACGGCAGCGCGGGGCAACCUGGCGGCGAGUGGCGAACGGGUGAGUAAUAUAUCGGAACGUACCCAGAAGUGGGGGAUAACGUAGCGAAAGUUACGCUAAUACCGCAUACGAUCUACGGAUGAAAGUGGGGGACCUUCGGGCCUCAUGCUUGUGGAGCGGCCGAUAUCUGAUUAGCUAGUUGGUGGGGUAAAGGCCCACCAAGGCGACGAUCAGUAGCUGGUCUGAGAGGACGACCAGCCACACUGGGACUGAGACACGGCCCAGACUCCUACGGGAGGCAGCAGUGGGGAAUUUUGGACAAUGGGCGCAAGCCUGAUCCAGCAAUGCCGCGUGAGUGAAGAAGGCCUUCGGGUUGUAAAGCUCUUUUGUCAGGGAAGAUACGGGACUGGAUAAUACCUGGUCCUAAUGACGGUACCUGAAGAAUAAGCACCGGCUAACUACGUGCCAGCAGCCGCCGUAA